rnacentral:misc_RNA from 1 species
AAAGAGGAAGCAUAAAAUAAACACAAAUUGUACUCCUGCCCCCUCCAACUACAUGGAAGAUUCUGACCUCAGAAGAACAGUUCAUGAUGCAAAUUUAGUGGUAAGAGAUCAGAUAGUAAAGGAAAAUAACAUGGAUAGUAAUUUUGGUCCGGGCAGAUCAAAUGAGUCAGACAAUGCUAGAACUAGACUUGGUGCUCAUUAUGCUGGUUUUUCAAGGAACAAUCAUGUGGAUAGAGCACAUAGCAUGGAUAUUUCUCAUGAGCCUUCCCUUUCUAGGAAUAAUAGAAGUGAUCCCUUUUGGAAUGUUGGAACUGCAAGUGAUAAUUGGCCGAAGACCUUGGAUGAUAGAGUAGGGGGGAAAAAGAGCCAUUUGGACCCUGAUAUUAAUUCUACAAUUGUGUCUGAGCGCUUUGUGAACUCACCCUACAAGAAAAAAGGAAUGCGUAAAGAUGGUAGAUUAUUCAGAAGAGAGAUAAGCGAAAAUGAAUCUAAGUUUCGUACAGGAAUCAUAAGAGAGUUUGAUCAUCAAGAGUCCACUGAUGAUGAUGAUGUAUGCUUCCUUUCUAUGCGUAAAGGAGCAAAUGAAAAAUGUGCUGACAGAUUUCUUAUCCCAACUGCUUCAAAUGGGAACUCCGCCUAUGCCGGAGAUGUAGGUAGACAAAUG